GGGGGAUUAGUUAAAAAUAACAUUAGAUCGUCAAACUAAAAUAACCAAAUAAAUGGUAUCCCCCU